GAUUGCGAUCAUACCAGCACUAAUGCACUGGAUCCCAUCAGAACUCCGCAGUUAAGCGUGCUUGGGCGAGAGUAGUACUAGGAUGGGUGACCCCCUGGGAAGUCCUCGUGUUGCAACCC
rnacentral:rRNA from 1 species